GACCACUCUGGUGGCCUAGUGGUUGGAGUGUCCACUUCUGAUGCAGAAGGUUGUGGGAUCAAUCCCCAGCCAAGUCA